AUGCGAUUAGAAAAGUCACCCAAUAAGUUUGAUCUUAUAGCUGUCAAUUUUGAUUUGAAGUUAGAAAACGUGUUUCCAUGAAAAGUACGUCUUUUUGUAGGAACGGGCAGCGCUGUAAAUCGUAUUUAUAAAAUUCCGUCCAUAUAAACAUCUUCACGUCAUGGCAGAGAAAGAUUUAGCGGCGGAGCUGUGGAACUACAGUGCAACUG